rfam:Alligator mississippiensis ScZkoYb_7, whole genome shotgun sequence.
AUGGUAGAGAGGCCAACUAGGAAGGAAGCUCUUUUCAAAUUCCUGCUCACGAACAGGGAGGAAUUGGUUGAGAACGUGAACAUGGAAGUUAGCUUGAUGUUUCAGUAACACUGAAAUGGUAAGGGUUCAAGAUCCCAACGGGAAGAAGGAAAGCAGC